CUUGCUCGCGUGACCAUAUAAGGUAAAGAGGCUGCGUGAUGUCAACGCCGGUCGCGGAAAAAAAGAGCAGAUCGUGAAGUGAUAGGCGGGGCUUGGCGAGAUUUAGGUUCACCAUUGGCUGGAUCCCACUGUCAGCCCCGCCUCUUCACGCAAAGAUGGGGGAGUGGCCAUUUUGCUGCUUGCUGUCGACAGAAAAUGGCAUCACAUUGCUUAAGGGACCAAAUCCAGAAAACAGUCAGUUGGUCAGUGAGAGUGUUCAUCAUCCAGCAUUAAUUCCGGACCAGCGGACGGCAGCCAGGCUCCACCAGGGACUGACAUCAUCUAAAAGCUUACACACUACUUCAUGCCCCCCCCUCUCCUCACUAAUCUGCCCCCCCCCAUUCCCACCCCUCAACGCCUGGACCCUUUUCCUGCCUGGCCCUCCAUCAUUCCUCCUCCUCUCCCUGCAUGGCCCACUUCUUCCUUCGUGGCGUCGCCCCGGGUCCAAUUCACCAGCGACCUGACACUCUCAUUUAGUUUCGAUAGCAAUGCCCCCGCCCCCCACCCCCAUAAUCCACCCUCCAUAACCCCUCCUGCCCUCCCGCACCCACACCUCACCUC